UGUUAACAUGGAGCCAUAGUUGCAAAUGAGAUAUUGCUCUAAGAAAAGCUUUAUGAUCUACCAAUUUAUCAUAACAUAGAUUUUUCUGACCCACCAUUUUGACGUUCAGGGGUUUCUCUCCCACAGGCAUCAAGCAAUGUGAACCUUUUGUUCAGUACCAAUGCAGCAAUAAUAGUGCCUCCAAAAUACAGAAACCUCCAAAUUCCUCCGUUCUGUGCAAGGAGAGAGCCCCAGACACAAACAGCUGAGAACAUUAAUCCAACAGAUCUGCCUUUGAUCCCGGGUGCAACCAUUAAGUGAAAAUGUGAAUCUGGUCCGGAUACUUAGCCUACCUAAGUUUCGUGAAGGAAACUUUCCUUAGAGGCUGAAAACUGAGCUAAAAAUAAACAAGCUAAUUCUUCAAUAAAAAGUAGCGACUUGCUGUCCUUCUCGGGUGGUUCUGCUUAGCUUUGCGCUCUCCGUACAGCAUGCCACGUUUAUCAGUAGGAAGAAACGAAGUGAGAGGAGAAAAACCAAAAAGAAAUAAGUUCACAAAUUAUCAGGCAACCAAGAGCCAACAGAAGCCAGCCCAGCAAGACAGAGAUUCAUCCAUUUUUCUCCUUUAAAAUUCCAAGCUUUUAGUCCACCAGUCAGCCACAACUAAAAAAAAAAAAAAAAAAAAAAAUCCCAGCCACAACCCAUUGAUAUCAAGAAAAUGUAUUGCUUCAUGUUUCAAAUUAAUUAAAGGACAUUCUUUUCCAUCCAAAAGUAUAAUCAAGGCAAUUUACUUACAAACAUAAUCAAGAAAUUAUGUAAAGGAAGAUUAACCAUAUGAAAAAUUUUUUCAAGAGUGAAGUUAAUUGAUUUUCUUAUCUUUUUUUUUCUUUCAGGUUUAAAUGCAGAUACUAAGAGUCUGAAUUUUCCAAAAUAACCUCAACUCAGCAGCAUUUCAGAAUAUUUCCUUAAAGGAGGUCAUGACUUCCACCCUAAGAGCUCCCGGGCUCUGGAGCUCUGGGGCUCUGGGAUACAUAGGUAGGGAUACAUAAUUCGUUGUGAGGAUGCCAAAACCCGUUCAGAUUUCCCCAAACCUUUGGCCAGAGCUCCUAAAGGCUAGAAAUCAUGUGGUAUGGGGUGGGGGUAGGGGUAGGAUGACAUAUUCUUUCUUUCUAUAAUGGCUUAGAGCUAUGUAUUUUAACAAUCCAAGGGAAGAUACGAUUAUUAGCUGUUCUGAACAUGAGAGGGUAGGAAGAAAAACAUCUGGUCCUGUUCAUUCACCUCCAGCUGCCUUACAGAAAAGACUUGCUUCCUUGCAAUAGUCACCUUAUAGAGAAUUGGCGCCCUCUGCUGGAAGGCAGAGAGCCCCAUGUUGACAACAAACUUGAAAACAGUGAUAACUGCAAAGGUUCUUCCCAAAAUUGUGUCAGGAAAGCCCGUUCUUAAAAGGAACAUUGAAAGCAACUUAGGGUCCCAUGAGCAGUGGCCACACAUUUUUACCCAGUAAUUACAUGGUUGGAAUUACCCCAUACCAUGGCAGUUUCCAAACUUACAAAUCAACUGGUGUUUUAUAAUACUUUUUUCUCUGUAAAAUUAAUGUAAACUGUUUAAUAAGCCCUAAUCAGCACAAGACCACCCACAUUACUACAGUGAACUUGUACAAUCCCAACCAAAUACCAGAAAAAGCACACUUUGGAAGGAAGAUAGCGGGGUUGGCAUCCCAGUUCUGACAUUUUCCAGAUGUAUCAAUCAGAUAACCCUGUCAUCUGUCAGAUAGGAAUGAUGAUAGAAUGUGACCUGUGGAGUUGGGCGAACUAAAUGCAUAGAUCUAUUGGAAGAAUUUAUAACUGCCAUGGUAAAUGUUAUCUUAUACCAGCUCUGAUUUUCAGCAGCUGUCAUUCUGGAAAUAAUUCCAUGAAAUGUUCCAAGGAAAUAGUGUCUCUGCUUUGCUUUGACACCUUUUAAUUCACCUUAUUUUUUAAGUAUUUUUUAUUUUAAGAUUAUAAUUUAAUUACAUUUCUCUGUUCCCUUUUCUCCUUCCUAACCCUCCCAUAUAACCCCUACACUCUCCUUCGAAUGAAUGACCUCUUUUUCUCUAAUCAUUAUUGUAUGCAUAUAUACAUACAGAUACGCAUACAUAUAUAUUCCCAAAUAUAACCUGCUCGGUCCCUAUGUUACUUGUGUGUAAGUUUUCAGGGCACUGGACGAUCAAUUGGUGUGCUCUUCGCUGAGGAGGCCCCCCCUUUCCAACUCGCAGCUUUCCUUCACUGCCUAUAGUUCAUGUGUACAACUGAGGCCAUUGGCCUUUUCCUCAUCCAGUCUGGCCUGUCACAUUGCUGAGACCUUACUAGGAGCUACAGUCUCAGCAAACACCCCGUCCUCUGGAUCUUAUCAUCUUCUUCACUUCCCCUCUUCAGCAAUGUUCCCUGAAACUCGGGAUCAGAGUUGUUUUGGAGAUGUGUCCGUAGGGACCGGGUUCCACAACUCGGCCUUUUGCCUGGUGGUGGUUCUUUGUGGUGAUCGCCAUUUGUCUCAGAGAGAAGUUUGCUUGUUCACUAUGUUGCCUAAACUUCAUUCCUCACCACUGUUAGAAGUGAGAUCUGUCUGUACAAGGUAAGUGGAAAGGAAAUGACCAUUAUCCACAUUGGACCAUUAGCAACUGUGCCGGUUAUGGAAGUCCUCCAUCUUCACGUGCCUUCUCUGUCAUCAGUUAUCAAGAAUAGGUAUGUAUAUACUGUUUCUGUGUAAUUCAUUUCAUUUGGAAACUCAAAAUAAGAGAGCUGAUUCGGUAGAAGCCAGGCUCUUUGGAGAAGAGGGGUGAGGGUGCGCGUAAUGGAAUGGCCAGAGGUCAACUGAUUCUUUUCGGUUUCUGAGUGUGGGAGCAUCUACUCCCCAGUAGGUGGCACUGUUUGGGGAAUAGUGGAAACUAGGACAUGGGGCUCCCGGGAGGAAGGGAGACAGUUGUAUCUACUUCCAAUUCUUACAGUUCUUUGCUUCCUACUCCGCCAUGUGAGAAGCUGCCACCUCAAACUCUUGGUGCUACCAAUGGAACCAUGUUAGCGGCCAUGCCCAUACCACUAUGACAGACCGAAGCCUCUGAGCCAUAGUCUAAACUGAACUUGAGUAGUUCCUAUCAGGGAUUUUAGUCACAGCGAUGAGAAAAUUUCCAAAAUAUCCGUGAUGAAGCCAUAGAGGCAAAAUUCUGAAAAUGACAGAAUCCUCAUCUUUCAUACUCACAAAACACAAGCAUAACUCUAGAGAAGAUGACAGAAUUGGGCUCUGUGGGCCUCUUACCAGCUCCCAGGUACUGUGACACUGAUUCUCAGGCUGACUCUGAGGACACACAGCCCCUUCUCUGCCAGUUUUCAAUACUGGCUUAGAAUCUUCCCAAUGUAUUUCUUGAUUUUUAAUCUUUCAUGUUUUUAUGACAAUUAAAUAUGUUUCCCCUAGAAUAAGGCCCGACAUGAUUAAGACUUUAUUACCUUUAUUGACAAUUACAAAAAAAUUAAUAGAUGGGUUUAGACUGGGUUUGUAGAACGAUGGUAGGUCAUUUGCACCAUGUCAUGGUAAGAGAAAAAAGUCAUUGACCCCACCUCCCACAAAAAAAAAACAAAAAACAAAAACAAAAACAAAAAAACACAAAUGCAGGUGCCUCAGCUUCUCCUAAAACACCGUGAAUCAGAACCCACAAGUCACCAUAGAUGAUUCUGAAUACAGCAACUGAAGAAACUAUGCUAGUCAGAACUCAUUUGAUCACUUCAGUUAAAACAUAUCCAAAUGACCCCAGGAAACGAAGGAGGAGCUUGGUGAGUUGAGACCGGUGAAUCUAAAUCCAAGUCAGCUUUGUCCCUCAAGCAUGCUGUCAAUUUCUGGAGCAUCCUGGUUGUCCCAGGAUAGACAGGGCACUCCAAAGACCUGGUUAUGAAUAACCAUGGAUAAUCAACGUCCCACAUGGCACAGGAAAGCCUCCUAAUAGAACCACCUGGUUCCAAACAUCCUUAGAGCUGAUGUUGAGAAGCCCUGAUAAGACAGCACUUCACACCGCCAUGUGCAUAGAACUCACCUGGGAGAGCUUGUCAAAGUACACACGGUGACUCCCCUGACCUAGGGUGAGACCUACAUAUUGGGUUUUCUAACCUACACCAUUGAGGAGCUGGCUAGAACAGUCCCAUGCCCUACCUGAGAACCUCUGAGUCCAAAUCUGUAUUACACUAACACCUCACUCUUACUGCUCUGGAAAAGCCAACUAGGCUUUAGCUAACCCACAUAAGAGGAAUCUGGGUUUCACAAUAAAGUUAGGCAAAGGUUAAGACCGGCUUUGUUCUCCGAAUAGUGUUCUUCCUCAAUUAAAGAUGCCGGGGAGCUGGAGGCAUUCACCAGCUGCAUCUGUGGGUUGAAUUUUUCUUAUAUCCAAAGUGUACCUUAAUAUCGGUUAGCUAAAACCAGCAAAAUCUCAGUAUAUUCUGAGAAGUGGAAGAAAGCAUGGAAAUAGGAGAAAAGCUGGAGAAGGGAGGACUGAAGAGAGAGGCCAUGGGGGAAGGAGAGGUGAAGAGGGAAGAGAAAGAGGGGCUGGGAGGGAAAACUGGGAAACAUUUUAGGCUGGGUUAAUCAUAAAAAGCUUCACCACAGAACUUCUCAAAACCUUUUAACCUUUUAAUACGUGUUUUGAAAUUCCUAAAGGAAGAAUUUAACUCCAGAAGUUUGUGGUACAUCUGAGUGCCUUAACACUCUGAGGGAUUUUCAUUUACCAAUGCAACUCUCCCUCUCCGUUCUAUUCCCUGGAGCUGUGAGGACCCUGUCCAGUGACAUCUCCCAGAACGGUCACCUCACUGACUCCAUGUCCUUUGGGAACCAGAAGAGGCAUUAAUAAAUAAAAGACCAACUAACAUCGUUAUCACUUAGCACGUAAGAGGACAUUUAUUGUCCAGGUUCUUUCAUUCUUACAACAGUCCUACAAGGUGGGAGUCAGCCCAGUUCACCUCUUAGAAAACUGAGGCAGCAAGGAGAAUCUGGCUGCAAGCCACAGACCUAAGUCCUUGCACGGAGCCUUCUGAGGCUUGCAGUUAAGAAACCAAGAACCAGAAACUCUCCCAGAAAUAAGACUUCUUUACAGGAGGUAACCUCUAUCUGUCUCAAUUGCUAACUUACUUCUCUGUCUUCUCUUCUACAUGUCCUUUACUGCAGUUCACAUUCAUGAGGACAGAAAUCUCCUUCGUUUCCACAAAUGAGCACCCAGGACAGAGCGCUGUCUGUCUCUGAUACAGAGGAGCUCUGCUCUCUCCAGCCUCCCUCCCUCCCGGCUCCGGGGAGGAGGUAGACAAACAAUCCAGCUGCUCAGCAAUCUGAGCAGAACAAGAAUCAAGGUGGCCCCUCAAAUGGCCACGUACCGCAAAGGCCAGCCACCUUGCCUGGCUGCCUUUGAACCACAGUGGGAGUUUGACAGCCGUGUGUGAAGUUCUGAAAAGCAAGGCAGGUAUCCACCACCUGGUCACUUCUCAGAAGCAGCUCUGAGGCCCAUGGCACAGGACUAAUCCCAGAGAGGCAGCAUCCCCCCCCAACAGACAACCUUCAAAGGAUGGGUAGUGUCCUACGCCCACCUGUGUUAACUGUCAGCUACCCACAAGGGAGUGAGUGCUGGGAAUGCCCCUGUUAUCUACGACUUUCAUCUCUGUGGUACAGAGACGCUGCUUUGGUGAGAUAGGUUUCUAGGGUGCCUUUCUUUUGAUGCCACUUCACCAUCAAGAUGAACGUAGGCCAUCUGUGGAGCAGAAACACACCUGACAGGAGAGCUGGACCAGGCAGGGAGUUCAUGUGCACUCAUCCUCGGCGGGGCGUGUGCUCAAAAUCAUUCAGCUUGCUCCAAAAGAAUAUUGAAUUCAAGUUCUAGAAAAUACAAAGAAUGCUUGUUUAUUUUCCUGUUCUCUCAGCUAUAAAAAGUACAUAUUGUGAGCCAAUGAACCAAGCUAAUAUGGUCCCAAGUUACCACUGGGUCUCCAAGGUAUUGCUCUGAGCACUUGGAUCCGGGCCAAAAUUUGGCUAUCUGUGGUGCAAUCAUUUGUUCAUUUAUUUUUUUUAUCCAACAUCUCAUUUUAAAGUGAUUUUGGAGAUGUGGUAAAUACUCAGUCAUACUAUUAAUCCUUUUUAACCUUCAUCAAUCACUGUUUUCUUUUUAAUGAUGUGACUUUGCCACCUAUUUGGAAAAGAUGAGCACGUAAGCAAAUUUUUUGAAAUCUUCACUGCAUUUCUUCUUCCCUCAUGGUACCACUGAGCAGUUUGUUCUUUGAUAUACAGCAUAUUAGAGCUUAAUUACAGAACAAUGCAAAGUGAUCACUUUGGGCGCCAUCUGUGUAAAACUCCUUGUGAUUCUUGCAAAUUGAGGACAAGUAAAUAA
rnacentral:sRNA from 1 species